rnacentral:misc_RNA from 1 species
AGUCCGCCGUCGCGUUCGCAUCCUUUCGCGUCGAAGGAGGUCUCGGUGUUAUUCCGUCGGGGUAUAUUUACCUCCGUGCAUCGUAACGAUCCUAAGAAACGGCUGUCGCGACAGCCUGUCAAGUGUCACAUAUUCGAUUCAUACUGCAUCGCGAAAGUGCUUUGAGAAAACACAGGUCGGAAAGAUCGCGUUAAAAACUUUACGAAGUCGGCCAAACUUCGUGUCGUCUACGCGGAAAUCUAAUCUUCAGCUUUCCGUUCGGCAAAAAUUCGUGUGCGACUGCUGUCAUCGGCAAAUACUCAUCUAUGAUUUUCCGGCAAACACAGCAGGUUUAGCCUCGAACUACUCGUAUCCGACGUCUUCGGCAGGAAUAUUCAGCUAUUGACAUAUCGUAGUGCUGUUGGAAACAAGCCUGUGGCUCUAUCGAAGUGCUCAAAUACAAAAAGUGGAAAUAUUACGUCUUACGCGGCAUAAGAAACGGACGAUUGGAUUUCCAGACUGUGUUCCUUAUUGUGAGCAGACAAAGCUGAUUACAAUCGCGCUUUGAAAAGCGCGGUGGAAUGCAUAAUUCUUGCUUCAAAGAAUUUCUACGCUAAGGUCGUGUGGGUACAGUCAUGGCCGUGGAAAGAAGAGGGAACAGAGAAUUACGAACUUUGAGAACGGCUGAUUGCUGCUGAGAGAUAGUUUUAAAGACUUUUGUAUUCGUAAGGAUCCGCGUAAUUCCUGCCCGCGCGUUCACGAUUUUAUCCGAAGACUCUAUCUGUGUGAAAGACAUUUAUUUUAUUUAUCUACGUUAGUGCCAGCAUGACUCGUAUCAAUGUUCGGUUUGACAAGUGAUUUAUCUGCUUCGAGUUCCUGCUGUGCGAUACAACGUCAAAAACGAAUCGCGCUUAAAUCGUUCACGCGACAUGCAACAUCGCCGCGCGGGCGGCGAUUUGUGGGACUUUUGAAUAUAUCACGCGGAAGAUGCAGUAAUAUCGCGGCGGUGUAAGAGAAUUGGAAACAUGAAUCUCGCCGUUCUCGAAUCGAUGAUCGUCGCCUGGCUGGCAUCGGCGACGCCUCGUUCGAGCGACGCGCUCGACGAGACGGCUGAUUACUACUCGCUUAUGGACGACGGGGAUUUCGAGUACAACAACGCCACGAACUGCACCAACGACUAUUGCAUCCCGGAUGAGGACUAUAUCGGGCUGAUGAUGCAGCACAUAUUCCCGAAAUUCUCCGACUGGGUGUUAAUCGGAAUGCACAGCGUCGUUUUCGUGAUCGGCCUGAUCGGCAACGCGCUCGUCUGCAUGGCUGUCUAUCGGAAUCACUCGAUGCGCACCGUGACCAAUUAUUUUAUUGUCAACCUGGCGGUGGCCGACCUCCUCGUUCUGCUAAUCUGUUUGCCGCCGACGGUUCUCUGGGACGUCACGGAAACCUGGUUUCUCGGAUUAAGGCUCUGCAAGACGGUGCCUUAUCUCCAGACAGUAUCGGUGAGUGUCAGCGUUUUGACGUUGACUUUCAUAUCGAUUGACCGAUGGUAUGCUAUAUGCUUUCCGUUGAGGUUCAAAUCUACGACGGGACGAGCGAAGACCGCUAUAAUACUAAUUUGGAUGAUAGCGCUGCUUUUUGACAUUCCAGAACUGCUAGUGUUGCAUACAGUUCCGUCGAACAGUCGAGUGCAGACUAUAUUAUUCACGCAAUGUAUCUGGUCAUGGAGUCAAGAGAGUCAAACCACCUUCACGAUUGUCAAGCUGAUUUUUCUGUACACCGUACCGUUGCUCUUUAUGAGCGUAGCGUACUGGCAGAUCGUGUGUGUUCUUUGGAGGAGUAAUAUUCCAGGACAUAAUUUGUCCACCAGAAUCUGCAAUUCGACCGAGAUUCCACUUUCCGGAGGUGGAAAUCCAGAAGGUCAAUUAAGAUCUCGACGGAAGGCAGCGAAGAUGUUAGUCGCCGUAGUCGCUACAUUCGCAAUAUGUUUCUUUCCAGUGCAUCUGCUCUCUAUUCUAAGAUGUACCAUGACAUUACCAUCAAAUCAGUGGACGAUCGCCCUUAGCCUAAUCGCCCAUUGGCUUUGCUAUUUCAACAGCGCGGUGAAUCCUGUCAUCUAUAAUUUUAUGAGCGGUAAGUUCCGGCAAGAGUUCCGUCGUAGUUUUCGGGAGUGCGGUUCGCCGAGCAAGCAGAUGAUUACGCUGCCGGCCGCCCGCCGGCAUCUGCUGACAUGUAGCAACGAAUACACGAAGGGCUGCGGCACGAGCGUGCGAACACAACCGUUUUGACACGCGGCGGAACGAGGAAAUCGUUUAUCGUGGAAAUCGACGAAAAUACACCUCGACGUACCUGCACGAACGAGUGUCGUGGCCGAGACAGCGUUCGACGUCGGAAUGAGAACGGAUUCGGAAAUCGGGGCUCGUUAAAUCGAUCGUGCUUAGGGAAAAUUUCGCAAAGAGUUUAAACGUACUUUCCGAUGUUCCCACGAUAGUAGAAGUUGCGUCCAUAAACGUGGAGUCCCAGGC